UACGUAGGGCGCAAGCGUUAUCCGGAAUUAUUGGGCGUAAAGAGCUCGUAGGCGGUUUGUCGCGUCUGCCGUGAAAGUCCGGGGCUCAACUCCGGAUCUGCGGUGGGUACGGGCAGACUAGAGUGAUGUAGGGGAGACUGGAAUUCCUGGUGUAGCGGUGGAAUGCGCAGAUAUCAGGAGGAACACCGAUGGCGAAGGCAGGUCUCUGGGCCAUUACUGACACUGAGAAGCGAAAGCAUGGGGGAGCGAACAGG
rnacentral:rRNA from 1 species